rnacentral:rRNA from 1 species
CGGCGUUGAAGGCGGCCCGGUGGUCGCGCAGCUCGGUGGCGGCGGUCAACGGAUAAAAGGUACCCCGGGGAUAACAGGCUGAUCUUCCCCAAGAGUCCAUAUCGACGGGAUGGUUUGGCACCUCGAUGUCGGCUCGUCGCAUCCUGGGGCUGGAGUCGGUCCCAAGGGUUGGGCUGUUCGCCCAUUAAAGCGGUACGCGAGCUGGGUUUAGAACGUCGUGAGACAGUUCGGUCCCUAUCCGCUGUGCGCGUAGGAAUAUUGAGAAGGGCUGUCCCUAGUACGAGAGGACCGGGACGGACGAACCUCUGGUGUGCCAGUUGUUCUGCCAAGGGCAUGGCUGGUUGGCUACGUUCGGAAAGGAUAACCGCUGAAAGCAUCUAAGCGGGAAGCCUGCUUCGAGAUGAGUAUUCCCACCAACUUGAUUGGUUAAGGCUCCCAGUAGACGACUGGGUUGAUAGGCCA